rnacentral:sRNA from 12 species
GGCCUAAGUCUUACAAAAUUGUAAGAUAUGGUAUAAAAACCUAACCAAUAAAGGUGGUCUUCUGAUCACAGCAACUUAUUGGUUAGGUCUAUGCCCGAAAGGGUAUAGGAUAGUUUGAAAGAACUGUC